GGCUGGGGCAGAGAUGGUGCUUCCUAGCCCACUCACUGUGGAUCUGGGGCAAGGGACUGUAGCUCGGUUUCCUCGUCAUGAAAAGGAGAGGGCUGAGGGAGGGGCCUCCUCUAUUCCACCUUUUAGGGAUGGAGAAUGGAGCUAUUUCGACUGAGGGAAGGAUACUGGAUUGUCCCCAGAUGGGGAGGCCUCAGUAGCGGCUUGGAAAUGAUUGAGGUGGAAGGGGUCUGCAGCUAGGGCCCCUGGGCCGCAGCCUCAUUAAGCCUAGGCUGGAGUGAAUGGCUGGCACCAGCCAGUCUGUCCCCAAGGCCUCCAUGGGCUGGGGGAGGGGAAGGAUGAGAAAAGGGGAAGUAAAAGCCAACUUCUCCCUUUCUCUAAACUUGUCGCGAAGGAUGCAGAUGCCCAGGAGAGCCUGGAGAGAUGCAGGAACAAUACUGAUAUUCCUGACCCAAGUCCUCUUCUGGGGUAUCAAGGUUUGGCAACAACUCUGGCUUCAUGAAGGCUUGGCAGGGUCCUACAAAGGCGGAAAGGCUUUCCUUCCCUGUGAUCGAUGGACUACAUGCCUGUCACCCAAGAAUGUGCUUAAGUGAUAAGAAGUCCCACAACAGAACAUCGGUACUGGUUUUUUUUUAACACAACGAGCCAAGAAGAUACCCUAAGGCAUCCUAAGGCAGGCUAGAUAGCACCAAAGUAACAGGAGCUGUUUUGUUCUUUGUAGUUGUGUUAUUGGUGGCAGGUACAGGGGCUUAGUAAAAGUUGAUUGAUGGAUUGACUGAGGAUCCUCUCAGGGCUUUGCCUUGUUGUCAGGUUCUCUUCUCUAUUCCUUGGAACAACAAGACUGAAAGCAGCAGGUGAAGAAAGGGACCUUCUCUCCCCAGUACCAACCCCCGAGGCCCUGUUCCACUUCCCAUGCCCUAGGACAAAAGCUUGUAAAAUGCUCCACGCCAAAACUGGAUAAUGGAGAGGAAAGUGGGACACUUUCUUGGGUUCCAGAGAUCCGGGACACUGGCAUGAGCGUGAGGCAGUGACAGGGUCCUGGGGACUAUGUUGGAUUAAGAAAUUCUGCGGCUCUGAGCCACCAAAGCUUUAGAGAUCUUUCCUAGUAUUUUGUAAUCACACCCACACAUGCAUGCACGCAUGCGCGCGCGCACACACACACACACACACACACACACACACACACAUACUAUGGUAUCCUUCUGAAAAACAUUUUUAAAAUUAUACUAUAAAAAUCCAACAACAGCAACAAUAACAAUAAUAAAGACUGUUCUGAUGAUAUUUUUAUAACUCUU
rnacentral:lncRNA from 1 species